rnacentral:rRNA from 1 species
UACGGGGGGAGCAAGCGUUGUUCGGAUUUACUGGGCGUAAAGGGCGCGUAGGCGGCGUAACAAGUCACUUGUGAAAUCUCCGGGCUUAACCCGGAGCGGCCAAGUGAUACUGUUGUGCUAGAGUCCGGAAGAGGAGAGUGGAAUUCCUGGUGUAGCGGUGAAAUGCGCAGAUAUCAGGAAGAACACCCGUGGCGAAGGCGGCUCUCUGGGACGGUACUGACGCUGAGACGCGAAAGCGUGGGGAGCGAACAGG